GACGCUUCUGCAGUACAUUCGAGCUGUCCGCUUCAAUGGCAGCGCAGGAACCCCUGUGAUGUUCAACGAGAACGGAGAUGCGCCCGGGCGGUACGACAUCUUCCAGUACCAGGCGACCAAUGGCAGUGCCAGCAGUGGCGGGUACCAGGCAGUGGGCCAGUGGGCAGAGACCCUCAGACUGGAUGUGAGUGUGCAGACCGAGCCCCGGGUGGGCAUGGGCCCAGGAUCCCGGAGGCAGACGCCCCAGCCUGUGUUUUGUGCGUCCCAGGUGGAGGCCCUGCAGUGGUCUGGCGACCCCCACGAGGUGCCCUCAUCUCUGUGCAGCCUGCCCUGCGGGCCGGGGGAGCGGAAGAAGAUGGUGAAGGGCGUCCCCUGCUGUUGGCACUGCGAGGCCUGUGACGGGUACCGCUUCCAGGUGGACGAGUUCACAUGCGAGGCCUGUCCUGGGGACAUGAGGCCCACGCCCAACCACACGGGCUGCCGCCCCACACCUGUGGUGCGCCUGAGCUGGUCCUCCCCCUGGGCAGCCCCGCCGCUCCUCCUGGCCGUGCUAGGCAUCGUGGCCACUACCACGGUGGU
rnacentral:sRNA from 1 species